rnacentral:rRNA from 1 species
AUUGAACGCUGGCGGCAGGCCUAACACAUGCAAGUCGAGCGGCAGCGACAACAUUGAAUCUUCGGAGGAUUUGUUGGGCGGCGAGCGGCGGACGGGUGAGUAAUGCCUAGGAAAUUGCCCUGAUGUGGGGGAUAACCAUUGGAAACGAUGGCUAAUACCGCAUGAUGCCUACGGGCCAAAGAGGGGGACCUUCGGGCCUCUCGCGUCAGGAUAUGCCUAGGUGGGAUUAGCUAGUUGGUGAGGUAAGGGCUCACCAAGGCGACGAUCCCUAGCUGGUCUGAGAGGAUGAUCAGCCACACUGGAACUGAGACACGGUCCAGACUCCUACGGGAGGCAGCAGUGGGGAAUAUUGCACAAUGGGCGCAAGCCUGAUGCAGCCAUGCCGCGUGUGUGAAGAAGGCCUUCGGGUUGUAAAGCACUUUCAGUAGGGAGGAAGGUUCAUGCGUUAAUAGCGUAUGGAUUUGACGUUACCUACAGAAGAAGCACCGGCUAACUCCGUGCCAGCAGCCGCGGUAAUACGGAGGGUGCGAGCGUUAAUCGGAAUUACUGGGCGUAAAGCGCAUGCAGGUGGUUUGUUAAGUCAGAUGUGAAAGCCCGGGGCUCAACCUCGGAAUUGCAUUUGAAACUGGCAGACUAGAGUACUGUAGAGGGGGGUAGAAUUUCAGGUGUAGCGGUGAAAUGCGUAGAGAUCUGAAGGAAUACCGGUGGCGAAGGCGGCCCCCUGGACAGAUACUGACACUCAGAUGCGAAAGCAGCAAACAGGAUUAGAUACCCUGGUA